AUAAAGUGCGACUGUUUUAGUCUCUCACCUGUAGAGUUCCUCCACUGCCCUACUUUUUCUCCCCUGUAGGGUUCCUCCACUGCCCUACUUCCUCUCCCUCUUCCGCCCAAGCAGCUAACAAGAGAACUGCUAGUCAACUGCAACGGAAACGAACAAAGCACCACAACAGAAGACGAACUGCAACGGAACGAGCGAUCGAAUCCUCCGACCUAAACCGCAGUUUAACAAAGACGACAUCGCAGCAAGGACAACCUUCUCCAUCUACAGACAUUAUCAACUCCUCUCUGCCUAAUCAAAACAUCGGAAAGACUUUUCACCCAUGGACUGGUAACUUCCAAUGUGUCUAUCCUAUUGUAUGAAGAUUAAAUAAAAGGUGCAGUACAAGACCAAGUCAGCAAGCAUCUCUGAGAGAAUUAUUUUCACUAUCGUUGCAUUGAAGGAUAGUUUGACCGAGUUUCUGUUUCCAAAACAGAACUAAAGUCAGAAAUGUCUGGAUUUACUGAACCAUCACAACCGCUCAUGUCAGUGAAGAAGGAG